UUAAGUUGACACGCCAUGAUAUAACUGUAAUAACUGAUAAACCCAACUCACUCACUCAUUUUAGAGAAGUUGACAUCCAUAAAUUCUCUUUCUUACUUACAAGAAGUUAAAGAACACCCGAUUCCUCUACUUCUUUUGAGCAGAAUAAGACAGAGAUUACCCUCUGUUUACCAGAUUAUUGAGAGAUGACCUUUAGUAUUCACAUCAAUAUUUCAAACAUUAUUUCAAAAUGUUGUCUUUGUAUUUUGCUUUUUUACUUAUCAUUCGAUGCAGCCGAUCGAAAAGAAGUGUUGGUGCCUCACAUCAAUACAAGUAUGUCAAAUCAUUUUGACUUGAUGUUAUUGUUUAAUAUUGUUGUGCUUCCAUGAUAAUGUGGCAUUGAUGCAAGGUGAAUUUGUUAGAUAUUCUCAGCCAAGAUGGUUGUCCCCAUGCUUAGAAACCAGAAUGUGUUAUAUUGUUUCGAAUAAUGUGGUGUAAUCUGUCAAUGGUAAAGUGGUAGACCACAAGAAAAUAUCACUUCCUUACAGAAUUUUACUUGUCUUGGACUAGAUAACUUGCGUUGAUUUCAAAGCUUCUUAUUCCUUGUGAUACAAUGUGUGAAAUAACACUGGUUCAUUAUCACUUUAGUCUAGUCCUCUGUUGGUAUGACCUCACUAGAUUAGGGGAGGAAGCUUCUAGUCCCUUAAAUAGUUCACUUGUCUUGGCUGUUGUGCUAUUUGGAACGCAGCCUUUUCAUUGUAACAGUUACCAUUGAUUCUUUACACAAGUGGCCAUUUGGAACUCAACCUUUCUCUUUUGUCCAGCUUCUUCCGAUUGUAAGAACUUGCCAAGUCUGCAAAACCACACACACUCAAGGAUCUUUCAUAUCAAAGUUCAUAUUUUUAUUUACCAAGUUUGUUAUACCUGUUCAUUCACGUGAAUUCGCUGAAGGGAUACGAUGUGUUUUUUUAAAGCGCAUAACACUCGAUAAAUCUUAUUUUAGACAGUGAAUCAUAAACAUGAACGCUCAUGAACUAUUUGGACCCCGAAGGUAGCGUUUUAGCAGGGGAUCACUGUAUAUUUAUUUAUUUUCCACUUUCAAAGCUUAAAGCAAAUGGAUCUGAAAUCCCAGUAAUGCAAAUUGGCCUUGUUCUUUGGGUACCAAGUGCUCUCAUUUGUACGUUUCCAGCUUCAGGGUAAUCUGUGUUACAUGUUUUCUGGUCUACAAUGUCUUGUCAGAUGUCCAUGUAGGGUCCUGUUUCUUUAGAUGAUGACUUAUUUCUUAUGUGGGAUGGCAGUGGUGGAGCAGCUGACACCGCACUGAUGUUUCUGAAAUUACCUGUAGUAGUCCAGAAAAGGGGUGUCCGAACGUAUUAACGGUUUCAAGAAAAACAUAUUGUCUUCCUUCAAUUAAGUUUUCCUAGAUUUUAGCGAAUUUAUUCACUGCUCUUCUGAUGUUGACAAUCUUCAAAAACAGAUAUGUUUACUGUUGUUUUUGUAUGUGCUUAUGAGUUUGUUUUUCAUCAUCCAUUCUGUAGGUCGCUACUACAAAAAAAGGUAUGUGAUUUUGAAAACAAGAUGGCAAACCCCAUGACAGGUACCAGCAGGAAUCCUUGCAAUGAAAUAAAGUAUUUAUGGUUGUAGGUAAGCAAGUGUUGAAGGAAGAGACUGGUACAUAGAUUCUGAAAGUGUUUCACGAUCUGUAGGGUCACAUGCACAGAUGUGUGCUGCAGAUUCCACAGCUAACAUUUACAGAUUGUUGAAUACCCACCCCCAUUAGUGACAUACAGACCCUUUGGUAGUUCACCCUCAGCUGCAGUUGUAGAAACUUCCUCCCUUGUGGUUGCUCCUGUCCAGUAUGUUGUCAGGGCCUUUUUGCAAUCACGUUCACUCUCAGCCGUCCAUGUUGCGUGUUAGCCUAGUAGAUUUGAAGUUUGCCAGUGUAUUUAUUACCGACUAACCCGGUUGAAAGCUUUGUACAAUUGGUUUGCCUGUCAGUGUCCUCAAUGUAGCUCAUGUAGCCCCUCCCUCUUCUUGUGAUAUAACUGGAAUACUGUCCAGAGUGGCGUUAGAAUAAAGUCACUAGUGUCCAGUGUCCUUAGCUUGGGUCAUACUAAAAGACGUUAAAAGAUCAUACUUGUUGUUGCCCAGUCUGCGCUUGGGUUUAAGGGGCUAAAACAAUAACUGGUCGGCUCAGAGUCGGUAUACUGUGUCUGAGUGGGGUAUUCGUGUUAAACUGCGGCAUGGUAUGCCAGUGGGAUAGCACCAUAAAACUGGCGCAAGUCUGGACGAGUGCAUCGGCCACAAGUGCUGCAUGUUGCUAUACAAGUGCAUCAUGAGGUUUUAGACCCAGUUCGAUUCACCUUGCUAUAAAUAGUUGCAACCCUGCAAGCUAUUGUUCAUGUUUGACAUCAUGUUUGUAGCAUACUCAGUUGUUUAUAGGGACGGACCAUUUGAUAUUCUAGGGGGAGUGGCUGGGAUUUUAUCUAAUAGAAUAAAUUGUCCCCCCAAAAGGGUCAUGGGUGGUUGGCUGGCUAUUGUCUUUUUCUAAUUUCUUUUUCAGCUCAAGUUAUAUUUGAAAUAUGACAUUCAUUGAAGUGAGACAUUUUUAUUUUCAAAUAUAAAACCAGACAUUCAGGAAGUGGCAAGCCUUUUUAAUAGUUAAGUCUUUGAAUGAUAUUUAGAAGUGAUACACAUAAGAAAUAGUGAUCCGUAUCUUAUCAUGAACAAAUUAUCAUGAUACUUAUCCCGUGAGAUCCCUAUAAACUGACGUGAAUUUAGAUUCCGGAGGACGUCCUUGUGCAGGUGGACGUCCUUGUUUGAGUGGACGUCUUUGUGCAGGUGGACGUCCUUGUCCUGGAGGACGUCCUUGUGCAGGUGGACGUCCUUGUCCUGGAGGACAUCCUUGUGCAGGUGGACGUCCUUGUGCAGGUGGACGUCCUUGUGUCUUGCUGCACAUUAUUGUCAGCAUUAUGGUUUCCAGUAUGUUCAGUUACACCCAUCUUGAGUUGUAAGCUGACUGUUUUAGAAUCACCCUCCCAGAGGAAUGUUAAAGACUUUUACUGAAAAACAUAUCAAGAAA